CAGGAGCUGGUGUGCUGGGAAACCUUGGCACAUUCUUCAACAUCAGCUCACAGGGUGGCUUUCUGAAGAAGCUGUUUCACCUCGUCUGUGCUGUCUGCAGCCUGCCCUGGUGUUGUGGCCAGGGGCAGAAGGACAAGGCUGCUGCACCACUGACAUUACAGGGUAGUGGAUGGGUUAGGACCAAAAUCCUGUUUUGGUUUCCUGAUCAAAGAGCCCAGCUUUGUUCUUCACAGGCUUCCCAGAUCCAGGCCUCCACGUGGGGAGGGACGUGGCCCCUGACAGCACGGUGUGGGUGGCUGACACUGGCCUUUCCCUGCAGCAAAGCUGGAGAUGGAGAUUCCAGCUGGCACACGUCGGCAGCUCCCCCAGGAGCAAGGCUGAUCCCCAGCCGCUUCACAGCUACUCACAUUUGGCCAGCUUCAAAUCAAAAGAAAAAGUCCCAUGGAAGGACUGAUCUCAGUGGACUGAACCUUAAGGGAAAGAAGCUUGGAAUGCAAAAGAACAUUUAACCCCUUAGGGUUGGUUGAUGAAGUGUUUGUUACAUCAACAGCCAAGGACCCACUUCUUGAGUCUCAGUGGGGGUUUGCUCAGGGAGCAAAUGCCCAAAGGACAUGCAGCUUUACUGGGUAAAUGUAGAGUUAUGGCCAAAUCCUGCUCUGUAGAGGAUACUAUGACCUCAGGCAUGCAGACAUACCAAUAAUGGCCAUUUAUACAGCAGCUUAAAUAGCAACAGCACUGCAGAGCACGUGUCCUCAGGAGAAGUCCAGCCUUGCCCCUGUACCAAUGGGCUCUGUGAAUCUUUUUGGGAUGGCAGCGUUACACUGGCAUUAGCCCAGUGUCAGAUGGGACAUCGGGGUCACCAAGCAGCUUUCUGGGAAACCCCCCCCCCGUGACAAAACAUUCUCCUUUCUGCAGAGCUAAAAAAUGUCAUCUUGACUCUGAGCAUCUGGCUGCUCUGUGCUCCCUGCGAGACCUGAGCACGGGCUCCAAACUUCUACAGGCUUUAAUUAAAAGCAAAAUGAGAUGUUGUCGUUACCACGGCGACAGCAGCAACAUUCGACACUUGGCAAGAGCAGUAACAAAGCACUGGAGGUGUUGGGGACUCCGCCGGGGGUUGCUCAUUUCCGAGAAAGCCCGAGGAGCGCGUGAAAAGCGCCUGCUCGCUGGGACGGGGAGAAUCGAGCAGAAGCUGCACUCCUGCAGCUUUUCCGAAAGAGAAGUUCCGUCAACACCGGGGCGAUGCCAAAUGCAGCCCUGGGAGAUGGGGCUGGGGCAGGUGGGUGUGCGCCCAUGGGAGGCUGUGCUGAGCUCCAUCCCUCUGCCUCGGGGUCUGGCCCUGCCUCUGGAAAGGGGUUAGAGAGAAGAGUGAAGCGAUACGCGGAAUAAACAAACAGACUCCACAGCC